rnacentral:sRNA from 1 species
UUAAAACAUAGAUCAUGUAAGUUUAAAAUGGAAAUUUCAAAUUGUCAGUACUUUGGUAAUGAAGUUUCUUGUUCCAUUCUAACUUCUGUGUUUGUUCUUUCAGAUCUUUAUACAUCUAAAUGACAUUUACUCUGUGGUGGGGAUUCCUGUGUUCAGGGUUUCCCUAGCCAGCAGAGCUUACAUCAAGACAGCUGGACUGCGAUCUACAAU